UAUCCCUACCUCUGAGACAGGCGGCCCAAGUCCAAGUUAAACCUGCUCCAGGGGUGUGCAAUAGAAUCUCUGAACAAGUUGGCUCGAAAAUGUCUGGACCACUUGAGGUCCUCUCCAUUCUACAGUUUCUCCGCAAUCUCUACCUAGCCUUUGUCCUGGAGAGGAUGAUCACAACAAGCCAAAUGGGCAGGAAGCAAAUCAAGGUCUUCACUAAGAAAAGCUGGGAGAAUGCUCCUCGAGUCAGUGCCUGUGGUCACCCAGCAGGGAAAAUGAUUUAAGUGGCAGAUGGUCGUGACCUAUUUAUUCCAUCCUGCAAAAGGAAAUGCUUCGGUUAUAGACAGUGAUUAAUUUACCCUCCUGGGCGAG